rnacentral:misc_RNA from 1 species
AUUGAUAUUUUAGAAGAUUAUGGGGGUGAUUUUACUGCAGAUUCUGAUGUUCCUUGCUAUAAUUUCAUCAAGCAGGCUCUUCCUGCACUUGUUCCUAUGCUACUGGAGACACUUCUCAAGCAAGAAGAAGAUCAGGAUCAGGAUGAAGUUGCUUGGAAUCUUGCUAUGGCCGGUGGCACUUGCCUUGGUUUGGUUGCAAGGACUGUAGGAGAUGACAUUGUACCUCUUGUUAUGCCAUUCAUUGAAGAGAACAUUACAAAGCCUGAUUGGAGGCAAAGAGAGGCCGCCACAUAUGCCUUUGGAUCCAUUUUGGAAGGUCCUUCACCUGAUAAGCUAAUGCCCAUUGUUAAUAGUGCUCUAAACUUCAUGCUUACUGCAUUGACAAAGGAUGCAAAUAGCCAUGUGAAG